rnacentral:rRNA from 1 species
GGGCAACCUGCCCCCGGCUCUGGGAUAACUCCAAGAAAUUGGUGCUAAUACCGGAUAUUCACAUUCUCUCGCAUGGGGGUUUGUGGAAAGUUUUUCGGCUGGGGAUGGGCCCGCGGCCUAUCAGCUUGUUGGUGGGGUGAUGGCCUACCAAGGCGACGACGGGUAGCCGGCCUGAGAGGGUGACCGGCCACACUGGGACUGAGACACGGCCCAGACUCCUACGGGAGGCAGCAGUGGGGAAUAUUGCGCAAUGGGCGGAAGCCUGACGCAGCGACGCCGCGUGAGGGAUGACGGCCUUCGGGUUGUAAACCUCUUUCAGCAGGGACGAAGCGGAAGUGACGGUACCUGCAGAAGAAGCACCGGCCAACUACGUGCCAGCAGCCGCGGUAAUACGUAGGGUGCAAGCGUUGUCCGGAAUUAUUGGGCGUAAAGAGCUCGUAGGCGGUUUGUCGCGUCGGCUGUGAAAGCCCGGAGCUCAACUCCGGGUCUGCAGUCGAUACGGGCAGACUUGAGUGUUGCAGGGGAGACUGGAAUUCCUGGU